ensembl:lncRNA
UUUAUUUGGAUGUAGUUGGCUUAAAAGAAAUUGAUUUAUCAACUUAAAAAUGUUGAGGUAAUUAGUUUCCUAAAAUAGCGUUAGCACGUUCGCCUCACACCUCCAGAGUCCAGGUUCGAUUCCCACCGUGGCUCUGUGUGUGCGGAGUUUGCAUGUUCUCCCCGUGCUGCGGGGUUUCCUCCCCCAGUCCAAAGACAUGCAUGGUAGGCUGAUUGGCAUGUCCAAAGUGUCCGUAGUGUAUGAAUGGGUGUGUGAGUGUGUGUGUGAUUGUGCCCUGCGAUGGACUGGCACCCUGUCCAGGGUGUACCCCGCCUUGUUCCCGAUGCUCCCUGG